rnacentral:rRNA from 1 species
AUACGGAGGGUGCAAGCGUUAUUCGGAAUCACUGGGCGUGAAGGACGCGUAGGCGGGUUGGCAAGUCAGAUGUGAAAUCCUACAGCUUAACUGUAGAACUGCAUUUGAAACUGCUAACCUAGAGUAUGGGAGGGGGAGAUGGAAUUAGUGGUGUAGGGGUAAAAUCCGUAGAUAUCACUAGGAAUACCGAAAGCGAAGGCGAUCUCCUGGAACAUAACUGACGCUAAGGCGUGAAAGCGUGGGGAGCAAACAGGAGUAGAAACCCCUGUAGUCC